UGGGGAAUAUUGGACAAUGGGGGGAACCCUGAUCCAGCCAUGCCGCGUGUGUGAAGAAGGCCUUAUGGUUGUAAAGCACUUUAAGCGAGGAGGAGGGUACUGGUAUUAAUACUACCAGCUACUGGACGUUACUCGCAGAAUAAGCACCGGCUAACUCUGUGCCAGCAGCCGCGGUAAUACAGAGGGUGCGAGCGUUAAUCGGAUUUACUGGGCGUAAAGCGUGCGUAGGCGGCUAAUUGAGUCGGAUGUGAAAUCCCCGAGCUUAACUUGGGAAUUGCAUUCGAUACUGGUUAGCUAGAGUGUGGGAAAGGGUGGUAGAAUUCCAGGUGUAGCGGUGAAAUGCGUAGAGAUCUGGAGGAGUACCGAUGGCGAAGGCAGCCAUCUGGCCUAACACUGACGCUGAGGUACGAAAGCAUGGGGAGCAAACAGG
rnacentral:rRNA from 1 species